UAGAGUUUGAUCAUGGCUCAGAUUGAACGCUGGCGGCAGGCCUAACACAUGCAAGUCGAGCGGUAACAGAAAGAAAGCUUGCUUUCUUUGCUGACGAGCGGCGGACGGGUGAGUAAUGCCUGGGAAUAUACCCUGAUGUGGGGGAUAACUAUUGGAAACGAUAGCUAAUACCGCAUAAUCUCUUCGGAGCAAAGAGGGGGACCUUCGGGCCUCUCGCGAUUGGAUUAGCCCAGGUGGGAUUAGCUAGUUGGUGGGGUAAUGGCUCACCAAGGCAACGAUCCCUAGCUGGUCUGAGAGGAUGAUCAGCCACACUGGAACUGAGACACGGUCCAGACUCCUACGGGAGGCAGCAGUGGGGAAUAUUGCACAAUGGGGGAAACCCUGAUGCAGCCAUGCCGCGUGUAUGAAGAAGACCUUCGGGUUGUAAAGUACUUUCAGCGAGGAGGAAAGGUUGAUGGUUAAUAACCAUCAGCUGUGACGUUACUCGCAGAAGAAGCACCGGCUAACUUCGUGCCAGCAGCCGCGGUAAUACGAGGGGUGCAAGCGUUAAUCGGAAUUACUGGGCGUAAAGCGUACGCAGGCGGUUUGUUAAGCAAGAUGUGAAAGCCCUGGGCUCAACCUAGGAGCCGCAUUUUGAACUGGCAAUCUAGAGUCCUGUAGAGGGGGGUGGAAUUUCA
rnacentral:rRNA from 1 species